GAUGAACGCUGGCGGCAUGCCUAAUACAUGCAAGUCGAACGAGAGGAAGGAAAGCUUGCUUUUCUGAAUCUAGUGGCGAACGGGUGAGUAACACGUAGGUAACCUGCCCAUGUGCCCGGGAUAACUUCUGGAAACGGAUGCUAAAACCGGAUAGGUAGCAGACAAGCAUUUGACUGCUAUUAAAGUGGCUAAGGCCAUGAACAUGGAUGGACCUGCGGUGCAUUAGCUAGUUGGGGAGGUAACGGCCCACCAAGGCGACGAUGCAUAGAGCGCCUGAGAGGGCGGACGGCCACAUUGGGACUGAGACACGGCCCAAACUCCUACGGGAGGCAGCAGUAGGGAAUUUUCGUCAAUGGGGGGAACCCUGAACGAGCAAUGCCGCGUGAGUGAGGAAGGUCUUCGGAUCGUAAAGCUCUGUUGUAAGAGAAAAACGACAUUCAUAGGGAAUGAUGAGUGAGUGAUGGUAUCUUACCAGAAAGUCACGGCUAACUACGUGCCAGCCGCCGCGGUAA
rnacentral:rRNA from 1 species